rnacentral:lncRNA from 1 species
UCAUGAAUUCAUUCAUGUCAGCCAAGAGAGAGAGAGAGAGAGAGAGAGAGAUCUGAGUUGAAUGCUUCUUGAACGAACAUUCGGGUUAGCGCGCGUAAAAUGGUCAAACAUCUGAUGUGACCAAACAGAUGGAUUCAAACAUCAUGAAACAAACACAUUCUACGCUUUCUUUCUCUUAUUUGUUUCUUCGACAAGAACAUGAAAUAUGAUAUAUCUAAAUAUAUCAACAGCUACCGACAAGAAAGUGUUCUUGUCAUCAAUGAGUUUGCGGUAGAAACCUCAGAUAUUAGAUAGCUGUUGACGGAUGUAGAAUGGCAAAACAGGGACCUGUACUUGGAGAUCCUACGUACAAACAAAGAAGUAGAGAGAGAUCGCAAUGGCAUUGCCAUCUACUCUCUUUCAUGGGAGUAGAAAUGAGAAGGAAAAAUGAACUUUAGAUCUCUAUGAACAAACACUACGUAAAAGUAGUACAGUUUUGGCUCGUGUUGAAGCGACCGAGGGAUCCAAGGAGAAGGUCGAGACCUGCUUGAACUCAUGGAUUGAACUCAUUGUGUAUCGGUCUUCGUCUACUUACUCGAGCGUAAUCCUGAUUCCACCACCAAGGCAGCUUCUCUUUCGUCGUCUGCGUCGCUCCUCGCCGCUGAUCAUGCAGUCUAAUGGCGCCUUUCGAUCCAUCACAGCAUAAGAAUGAAACAUGUCAAGACUUUGGAUGAUAAAAGCUCUCUCUCUCUCUCUCUCUCUCUCUCUCUCUACACUACAUAUGAAAUGCUGCAGCAGAUUAGGAAGAAGAUGCUUUACCAGCUACAGUUUGUUGACGGGGAAAGGAGAGGCCUGCAAACAUGAGGACAAGCAUCCAAAACACCACUCUGGCAUACCCCAUAUCCUCUCUCUCUCUGUGUCUCUGUUACUGGAUUUAAAUCAGAAGAACCACAUAGACCAAAC